ACCAAGCUUCGAUUCCAAAGAAUAAGACGGUGUUUUCCCCUGAACAACAGAUUGUAUAAUCUCCUCGUCAUUCUCGGAUACUGCUGGUGUAAUUAUAGGUGCAGGCUUCUCCGCAACGGAUAAAGCUACCUAACAGAUUGUACAAUCUCCUCGUCAUUGUCGGAUACUGCUGGUGUAAUUAUAGGUGCAGGCUUCUCCGCAACGGAUAAAGCUACCUUAGUAGGUUGCUGUGGAACCAUUGGGACAACUUUUCGAACAGGUGGUGGAGGAACAGCAGUGCAGCCGAGAGCAGUCGCAGCAGCACAUGUUCCACGUCGGCUAUCUUCCUCAAUAAUAAACUGCUCAGUAUUCUCAUCUUCAACGUCCCAGGAAUCAUUGUUGGACCUUGAGACAAAAGACUGAACAAAUCCGAUCCCGAAAAAGCCCAACAGAUAUAUAACAGAAGCGAUCAACGAAACCAUAGCGACCAAUUCAGAAAAGGUGACCAUAUGGAGAGGCGUCGAAUUACGGAUCUUCUCACGCCACCUGACGAGAAGGAAAUACAUGACAGAGAAAAACAUGGUGAAAAAUAAACCAUUGGUUAGAUACAAUGGGAGUGGAAGGGCAUCAGAUGCUUUAGGAGAGGAAACUUGUUGGGUUUGUUUGUGGGGUUUGAGAAGUUCGCCGGCGGAAACGUCAUCUUUGGAAGAGUAAAAAGGCUUGACAGGUCGCCGGCGAACGUCCAUUGUUGAUUUUUCCGGUAGGAACACCGGCGAAGAAGGAGAUAGCGUGAGAAAAUGAGGAAUGAGAGUACAGGAAAGAAGUAUUAAGCAGUGAUGGUAUGUAUGUGUGGAGAAGCGAAAGUUGAGGAAAUGUAUUUAUAGAGAAAAAGCAGUUAGCGCGCUAUUCUUUGGGGCCACGCACUCCGCGUGCUGUUCGCCCAUCUAGUAAGUGUUUUUUCUAUUUCUUUUUAAAUUUUUAUCUUCUUACAAAAUGAUGUCUGAAUGAGUGUUUUAAAAAGCGGACUAAUUAGUGUUUUUCUGUUUCUUUUUAAAUUUUUAUCUUCUUACAAAAUGAUGUCUGAAUUUUAUCUAUUGACGAUCUACGGUGUCAUUCACCAUAAAAAUUAAAUUUCAUGAAAUUAAUUUUUAUAUUAUAUUAUAAUAUAUUUUCUUACAAUAGCCAAAACAUUAAACAAAUAAAAUUAUUAUAGAGAGAUUUGACUGGAUUAUAAUCGCUAAGCAUAUGUCUUGAGUAAUUCUAUCCAAUACAACAACAACAACAAAAACUACCCAGUAUAGUUCCACAAAGUGGGGUCUGGGGAGGGAAAUAUGUAGACGAGCCUUACCCCUACCCGAAAGGGCAAGGAGGCUGUUUCCAAUUGACCCUCGUCUUAGUGAAGGAAAGGGAAAAACAAAAAACAAAAACAAAAGAGCAUUAGUAAGUCUAGCAGAAAUAGCGUAAAUAAUUAUCUAACAUAAGAACCAUAAAUAAAAUAGCAUGCAAUAAUANNNNNNNNNNNNNNNNNNNNNNNNNNNNNNNNNNNNNNNNNNNNNNNNNNAACCAUAAAUAAAAUAGCAUGCAAUAAUAUCAUACAGUAACUACCAUAAAUAACUAUCAUAAGGGAGACACAAUCCAAAACACAAAUCAUCUAUGCAUAGCCCUGCCAAGCCUCACCCAACUCUGGGUGAGUAGUACGAAAAACUCUAUGGGCCCCUAUCAUACAACCCUGAUACUAGACCUCCUGGCUUUCCUAUCAAGGGGCAUGUCCUCGGAAACCCACAUUCUAGCCAUGUCAUGCCAUAAUCACCUCUCCCCAAUACCUCUUAGACCCCUCCCUCUUCCUCGCCGAACGCCGAUUAUCGUCAGCCGUUCACAACUCCUCACCGGGACAUCAGGACUUCUCCUCCGCACAUGUCCGAACCACCUCAGCCUCGCAUCUCGCAUCUUCUCAUCCACAGGGGCCACCCCCACGUUCUCUCGAAUAACUUCAUUCUUAAUCUUAUCUAACCUGGUGAUCCCGCACAUUGAUCUGAGCAUCCUUAUCUCCGCAACCUUCAUUCUCUGAACAUGAGAGUUCUUCACUGGCCAGCACUCUGCCCCAUAGAACAUUGCAGGUCUAACCACAGCUUUAUAAAAUUUCCUCUUGAGUUUCUGUGGAACCUUCUUGUCACACAGGACUCCUGAUGCAAGCCUCCACUUUGACCACCCCGCUCAUAUACGAUGAGUGACGUCCCUGUCGAUCUCUCUGCCCCCCUGAAUCACCGACCCAAGAUAUCUGACACUGUCUCUCUUGACGAUGACCUAAGAUCCAAUCAUCACGUCCCUGCCUACUUCGCUCGGCUCGGCGCUAAACUUGCACUCCAGGUAUUCUGUCUCUGCUUAUUUUGAAACCUUUAGACUCGAGAGUCUGUCUCCAUACCUCUAACCUCUCAAUAACACCGACCCUCGUCUCAUCUAUCAAGACUAUGUCAUCUUGCACUCCAGGUAUUCUGUCUUAGAUCUGCUUAUUCUGAAACCCUUAGACUCAGAGUAAUUCUAUCCAAUAAGGCACAUAUUUCAUAUCAAGAUGGAUAUAGUGGUUAUCGGGUAUUCAAAUUUGAAAAAAGUAAAAAAAAAAAGAAAUUGUACAAAUAGCCGGUUAUAUUCAUUGUUUAUUUUUUAGUCAUAUACAUAAAUUAUACAUUGAUUAUACACAAUUAUAUAUAUAUAUAUAUAUAAUAGCAUAUAAAUUGUGCAUAUAUUACAUCGCAACUGGCUAUUUUAUAUAGCUUUUAAAAUAUAAUAUUUUAUAUAUAAAUACAGUGUGAUUUUUUACAACUAUCAUUUAAGACAUGUAGCUUUGCCUAGGUUGUUAGCUUAUGGGCUCAACCAAAUUUUAUAUAUAUGUGUGUGUGAGAGAAAAACCCAUAAAUUCUUAUUAAUGUAAGAAUUUAAAAAAUAGAAUAAAGUUAGUGGUAAAAUCUCAACGGUCGAAUUCAUCAAUUUAAUUACGGAUCUGCCUCUCAUAAUUUGUGUCCAAUAAAGUUGGAGCUCAUAUUUUGUGAUAGGGGUCUCCAAAUAAUUUGUUAUGUGCCUCAACUCCUUGGCUAUGUCCUCAGUGUUUUUUCUCUUUUCUUUCUCCUUUUAAAAUUUUUAUUAUCUUUUAAAUUUGUUGUUUAGUAAUAAAUGGUGAUUAAUUUUAUUUGUUUCUGUUUUGUUCAGUUUAUUGUUAAAAUUGUGGUGGGUGGGGGAGUAGGAAGAAAGAAGGAUCUUUUAUACUACUCUCUUCCUCCAUUUUAUUUAUGUGAACUUAUUUUCUUUUUUAUUGGUGCUUAAAAAAAUGAUUUCUUUUUUAUUUAAUAAUAAUUUUAUUUUUAUAUAAUAAUCUAUAAUCACAUAAAAUAUAUGUAUCUUAUUUUAUAUAAUAAAUUUAAAAAUUUUUUCUCUUUUCUUAAAUUUUGUACCCAAUUAAAUGAGUUAAACAUUAUUUUUCAGGAAGUAAGAAAAUGAUUUGUUACAGUUUACUAAGUCAGGUUGAUUGGUGACGUGGAUUAGUGGGAGUAGACACAAAUACGGAUACGAACACAAAGAAGUAAAUUCCUCCGCACAAUCUUUUCUCUUUUUCAGUUCUUUUUCCUUAAGCACUCUUGUGAAAAUAUACCUACAGAUAUAAUUAUCAUAAGAUAUUUAAGAUUGAUCGGCCACAUGCAUGAAAGUGUGUAGUUACUUCAUCUGUCACAGAGGCGGAUAUAGGAUUUUAAAUUAAUGAGUUUCUAACGCAAUUUCAAAUUAAUAUACAAUAAUAAUUGAAUUCAUAAAUAAAUAUUUAUAAAUAUUUAAAUAUUUUAACAAAAACACUGGGUAUAUCCGAAACUUACUUGAUUCCUGAAAACCCGUAUACUACAUGCUAGAUUUGCCCCUGUCCGUUACCCAAAUAGAAAAAUUAAUUAAAUAAUAGUGAUUAAUUAAAGAACUCUAAAGGUAAAUCAGGGGUAGAUUUUCUCCAGAUGUCACAUGGUACCAAGUGAUCCUUUCAUUUUGGAUCACAUUCUUGCUUAAACAAUUCGAUUAUCAAAUCUGAACUUUUGUUUUGUGUAACCAACUGUUAAUAUUUACUGUAAAGUUAAAUUAAGUUACGUAGAUACUUCUAAGUAUUUACGAACUGUCAGUAUGAAACGGAUCGUGCUAGAUGGUUAAUCUUUAAUAUAUUUUCUUCUCAGUUUGCUAAUCCUAACUCCCCCCGCAAUUUAAUAACUAUAUAGGCAGGUGACAAGUUACAAGUCAUUAAUCUAAGCAGUCAAUUUGUUUAUUUUCUUGUGUUGGUGAAACUGGUAAUGGUAAGGCUACACAUAUAUAAGGUGUGUGGACUUUUUAAUGGUGUGAUGUAUUUUUGGAGAAAAUCGUGCGGAUUUGACGCAAAAUAAAUAAUAUCACACCAUAUUAAGGGUAUCUUUAAAUUAUUUAAACCUUAUAAUUGGUAACCAGUAGUUUGGUGGGACGACUAUGAAGAUAGCGAAGUAAUAGCGUAGGCCUGAUUUACUGCCUUUGCCCGUCUAUGAGCCUGUUUACCACAUUAACCCGUAGCUUCAAAGACGCAUGCACAUCCUUUCAUUGGGCUUCGAUGACGGUAACUGGAAUGUGGGUGUGUAGAAACAAGAGGAGUAACUUGAUAGACAGUAAGGGAGGUUAGUUAGUGAACAAUAUUUACAGUUAGUUAGUUGGAAAAUUGUAGACAUUCAUUAGUUAGUUAGGCAGUUAGUAGUUGUUAAUUAAUUGUUGAUGUAUAAAUAUAGCUGUACAGUUACACUCAAUACACAGAAAAAUCAUUUCUCUCUCAUUUCUUCUUCUUCUGCUGCUGCUUUCCCUCUCUCUCUUCAUGUGAUCCUACCUGUUCUAGGGUUCUUCUUCUCGCUGAUCCUAUGAAAUCUAACAGGGUGACACACAGCACAACUUCAAAUUAGCCCAUAAAUAAUAUAUAAUGAGUUACAUGAAGCUUAGUUCGAGGAAGCUGAGAUCCGUGAAUCGUAAUAGUGAGUCAUGUAAAACUUAAUUCAAGCGAGAAAUUAUUAUUUUAUGUGAAUAAAGUCUCAUAUUAAUAAUUGUAAAGAUUGAGAAUUUAUAUAUAAAAUAUAUAAAUAUCUUAAUUAUAUAUGAUUUUUUGAAGAAUCGUACGGACGUGAUCCAAAACAAACAAUAUUAUAUCAUAUUAAAGAUAUCUUUGAGCAAUUAUAACCUUACAAUACCGACAAGAGUUACAUAGCUGAUUAACAAGCGUCCAUUUUUGAAUGAUUAAAGUGAACUGCGGGUAUCUCUUCAAACGAGGGGAUCAUAAUAGUCAUGGUCCUCAUGGACAUGAAAUGCUUAAUUUUGCAUGCUUUGAAGUUUGGACAUUGAACAUUAAUUUGCCACUGGACAACGGAAAAGACAAACGACUUACUUUGGUUUCUCCGUAUGGAAAUUAGUUGAAUUGUUCUUACUCGUUAUGAUUAUUGCAGUGCCAUGUGAUCUCUCCGUUAAAUUUUAGUUAUCUACUUUUAAUUUUGUACUCCCUUAAAAAAAGUUAUAAUUUUACUCAUAAUAAUAAUAUUUUAAAAAGCUUUAGAAAAUAAUUUAAAGAAUUAGUAGUUAGUAAUAAAAGUAAAAUAUGAAAAAUAAAUUAUUUUUUUCUUAAUUUAUUAAGAUAAAUAUAAAAAAAUAUCUUUAAUAUAUUAAAUAAAUAAAAGUGAACGGAUAGAAUAUAUUUUUAUUUAUAUACACCCGUAGGUUGGGUCUCUUUCCAUUAUAAAACUUUAAAUCUAUGAUAGGCUCAUAACAGUCAAAGUGUAUGCACACUCUAUUUCAAUUAUAAAGAAGAGGGAUACCUACAUCUCUGUCAAGGAUAGGAUCGAUUCUGAUCAAAAUGACACCAUAUUGACUAAAUUAUGAAUAAAGGAAAACAAGAAAAAGGUUGAGGAAAAAAAAAGAGAUAUACACCAUAAUUAUUAUUACUAUUAUUAUAAAAGUAUGAAUAUAAUGUUGGUUUAUAAAAAUAAUCUCAUAAUAUUAAGUAUAAUAACUCUUAAUAAAAAGAGAUAAUCGGAAUUCUAGAUAUUAACCUUAAAAUUUUAUUAGUUUUAGGACAUCCUACAUGAUUACUUUUAGGAAUUUUUAGUAUAAUUACUUAGGGCUAUAUAAUUCAUAUAAAUUGAACAAAAAAUAUUUUUAGUCGUGUAAUCCUAUUACGUUUAGGAUAUUCUUCUUAAAAAUUUCUAUUACUAAUUUAAUUUGAGAAUGUUAUUGUCUCAAUCCAUAUAGAUAAAGGAGAGCCUAUAUUAUUAUAAAAGCAUAAAUAAAAUACUAAUAUACUAACAUUACCUUAUAAUAUUAAACGGAAGAACUCAUAAAGAAAGGACAUAUAUAAUUGGAAUAACCUUUUUUUUUUUGCUACAAUACCUUCUAUGCUAAUUUUUAAUUUUUAGGAUUUAAAAUAAAUAAAAUUUUAUCUAUUAAAUUCUUAUUAAAAAUAUGUAUGAAGGUUUAGUAAAAAUUAGUUUCAUAAGAAUCUUCCGUAUUGGCAAUACAUUACCAUUUCAUAAUGUCCAAUACCAAAAAAAAAUAAUAUUAAAUGGACUAUAUAAAGAGUUGAAAUUGAGAAAAAAUACCCCCAUGAUAAUAUAUUUAUAUUAUUUGAACUAUUUUUCUACUCAAAUAAAAUUUUUUAACCAAUUUUUCCAAUAAUAUUAAGAAAUACCUAAUUAUUAAGCAACAACUAAGAAGAUAUUUAAAAAUAAAAAUGUAUGAGAGAGAGAUAUUUGGUAAGAGUCAAUACACUAACGAUUCAAUAGACAUAAAGAUCUAAAAGUGAAAUGCGAUAUCAACCUUUUACUCUUCGAAAAUAAAAUUUAUCGUAGAUAAACUUGUAAUUGAGAAUUAAUAUUCAAAACAAGAGAUGAACUAAUAUUAAGAUCUGAACCAAGACAGAAUAAAUUAUUUUUUAUGUAAAAAUUAAAAUAAUUAAAUCUUUUAACUGAUUAUUUAGCAAGACAAUUAGAUUUAGUUAUUUUUUAAAUUAAUCAUGUGAGUAACAUUCUUAUUCAAGUAAAAAAAAUCUUAGGAUAGAUAAAUUUAUUUCAUAAAAAGAGUGUUAGAACAAAAAAGGUAUGUAUAUUAUUAAGAAUCAAAAUACUUCACAAGUGCUUGAGGAAGCACAAUCAAAGUUGAAUCCUAAACAAUAACAACCUUUCAAAACUAUAUUAUAAAGAGUCGAUUCUGCUAUAACAUGAUUAUUCUUUGUAAAUACCUCCGACAAAAUCGAAAUAAUAUUUCUAUGUCAUGCAUUACUUGCAAACAUCAUAUUAAGAGGCAUGACAUUGUUAGCAAUAAUAGCAAGUGGUGUACCAAUAACGACUUUAUUGUGAGGCCACCCACUUUAAAUUUAAUAUAUCUCUUCAAACAACUUAAAUAACCAUCACAAAUAUAUCAAAGAAGAUCAAUGAUGCUAAAUUUAUAGGAAAAGCAAAAUUGAUAGUAUGGGACGAAGUACUUAUGACUAAGUCUCAAAUGAUCGAAAUAAUUGCCGAAGUUCCAGAGAUAUAUUGAAUGUUAAUGAGCUGUUUUAUAAUAAAAAAAAUGGUUUAGGAGGUAAUUUAUGUCAAAUACUACUAGCAGUUGUAAAAUCGAAAAAAUAGAGACAGUAAAAUCUAGCUUAACAAAGUUAUGAUUUUGGCCUCAAAUGAAAAAGAUUCAACUGACAAGAAAUAUAAAGUAAGAACAUAUUCAAUAUUCAAUGUCUUUUUGCUUUGUGCCGAAAACUUUAAAAAGCGUCUAAUAAAAGAUGAUUUGAUUCUUCCCGAACACUUCAUUAUCAAUCCCAAUAAUAAUAGUAGUGCAUUUAAUAAGAGAAAUAUUUCUAUUAUUAGAUUAAAAGCAAUUUGUCAAAUCGCAUGAUAGAAUUAAAAUGACAUCUUAAUUAGCCGAAAUGAAUAUGUUGAUCAACUAAAUAAAAGAUUGAUUGCAAAAGUUUAUAAUAAAAAUAAAAUAUUUUCUGUUUUUGACUAAGCAGAAAUGAUACCAAUAAUUACUACUGAGAAUAAUACUUAAAUGCUUUAAUACCAAAUGACCGUCUACCAUACAUGUUUAUUGUCAAGUUUAUUAUUUCUUACAUAUGUUAGUGUCACUAUAUAAGACUAAGUUAAAAUUGAUAUUCCAUUGUAUAUAAGUUGAUAUUGAAGAAAUAUAUGCCCGUCAUGCUACUGAAAAGUUUAGAUACACUGAAUAGCUUAUGUAAUAGCACACAUAUGUUAUAUGGAAGUUUUGACAAUAAUUUUAUAUAUACAAUAAUUAUGAUACUGACCAAUAUGUUUCUAAGUAUAUUCUCAUCUUUGAAUUCAACCUUCGUCUUCCCAAAACUAAAGAAUAUCUUUUCAAAUUUGUCUGAAAAUAAAUUUUUAGUAUGUUUGUAUUUUACAAAUAUUAUAAAUAAAGUACAAGAACAAACUUUCUACAUAUUGACUAUAUUUACCGCAAUAUAUUUUCUUGCAUGAGCAAUUGUAUAUUGCACUUUCAAGAAGGAUAUCAAGAUCGAUAAUAAGAGUUUUGGUUAAGACAGAGCAAUCAAAACUUUAGGAGAAAACAUGCACACAAAAAAAAAGUAUCCAUAAAGAAGUUCAUUAAAAUACCAUCAUAUUAAAUAAUUUUUUACUACAAUACAUAAUUAUCUAACUAACAUGAUAAGAUUGAUCAUUUGUGUAAGUUUUGAUGAUGUCCUUUUAUUUUAAAUUCAUAUAUUAUGCUAAUAUUAUAAUAUUUUUCGAUAUUCAUAUAAUUAUUGUAUUAUUGUGUAUAAAAUUUCUUUCAUUAAUAUUUUAUUGUUAUUUUAUUUAAAUUAAUAUUCAAAUCAUCAUGUGCCAUUAUUAAUACGUAUCGCACGUUCAUUAAACUACUAUACAUGAAUAAAUUAUGUGCCGAAACUCAUAAAUUUUAUUUUGUCUUCUUGCACCAAUUAACUGCUCCAAUCUAUACUAAAUAGAUUUGGAAAUUCUAUUACUAACUUAUUAUGGUAGUAGAUAACACCUGAUUUUCAUAGUUAUUGUGUUAACGCUUGUCACAACUUACCAAAUAUACCCUUAAAAAAUGUCCAAGAUAAUUGAUAUACGUUUAUAUCUGUGUGCAUAUCUUGUGAUGAAACUUAAGCUCACCGAAUUUAAACACUAAAUUACUCUAAUAUAUCAUGAUUAAGUAAUAAAUUAUCGUGAGAAUAUAUAGUAACUAUAGUUUAGUGAUAAGCAUUGUGAGAUAUAUCUUAUGUAUUUAUUAUGUUGGCAUAAAAAUCCAGCGCAAAUAAGUACUUACCUUAUACGUUGUUUGUAUAUAUGUGCAACACUUAAUAUAAUUAUAAACAGCUGAAUAUUCGUAAUAUGAGUAACAAGUGCUACCAAUAGUUAUUUUAAUGCUGCUUGUCAUGAUAGCUCACCAAAUUACCUAAAGAAAAUGAGUUAAAAAUAAUUGAAAUUUGUAUAUAUUCAAUGCAAAAUAUCUGAGCAAAGUCAGUGUAGUAAAAAACAGGUUCUUAUAAUUAGGAACUCUAACUCCUCUUUUAAAUUCUUUCGGUGCAACAUUUUUUAUUUAUUAAUUAUAAUGCUGAGAUAUGAGUAGGCUGAGUUCAACAAUUCAUUUUGAACUUGUGUUGAAUUCUUUUUCCAGUUGAAGGCAGGGGCAGGGGCAGGCUCAUGGAUCUUAUAUAAAAGAAAAAAGAUAAUGCCUGCCAAAAAAGAAUAUAAUGGGAUGUUGUUGUACAUAUUUGAAAUUAUGGGAAUUCAGCUUCGCAAUUUUGAUUUUUUAAUUCUAUAUUCAUAGACUCUCCCAGGAACUAGCCUAGCCAGCAUAAAGCCAUAAAUUAAACUUCAAUAUUUAAAGUAUUUGACUACUGACUGCCGGCGGAAAAGUAUUCAUUGUACAACGGCUGCAUCUGCUGGACCAAAUGCCAAACAAUAUUAGACGAAAUAGAAAUUCCUAUUUAACAGACUAACCAAUUGUCCCGAUGUAAAAUUUAGUAGUUGUGAUAACACUUAACAUAUCCCGUAAAUAAGUCAAUUAAUAAUUAUUUAAUUUCAGUAAUAUUAAUAAAAUAAUUAAAUAAAGAAAUUUUUUGAAUUUUGUACAUUUCGCAACGACGGAUAAUACAAAUCAUGAGCUUUUAAGAAUAAAAUUUAUAAAGCUGAUAUGAACUAAGUAUACCUUCUGUUUGAAAAAUACAUGAACAAGAGGCAACUACAACAGGGAUACAAGUAAAUCUUCCAAAUCCAGCUCGAUGCUGAAAAAUACAUGAACAAGAGACAGCUAAAACAUGGACGCAAGUAUAUCUUUCAAUCCGACUCCUAUCGAACACAGCAACAUCGGCAUCCAAAAUCUGCAUGCAAUGUGCAGAAAGUGUAGUAUGAGUAUAACUGAUCACAUGUACUCAAUAAAUAACAAAUCUAAUCUUAGGUUGAAAGUAGUGACAAGCUGGAAUAUAGAUCGGGUCCAACACAAUUAACCAACAACAGAUCAUAUAAAUGUAAAGCAGAUAAUAAAUGGAGUAACUCAAAGAUAAAAAUGCCCAAGUUUUUCACAGUUUUUUCGAAAGAUGGGCCCGAUUUCAAGAAAUAUCAGUAAAAUUUCAAAUCCUUUAUCGAAAUUGUCAAAAAUACGAGAUAAUCUGGAACUGUAAUUUUCUUUCUGAAAAUCCUUUCCACAACAAAUAAGAUAUUUCAUUUUUUUUCUUUUCAAAUAACAAGUGCGAAGAUACCAUUCUCUGCCCACAUAUCAAUGUGCGUAAAAGUCAUGAAUGACAUGAUACCGUAUAGUAUGAGGAAAAUGCGCCUCUACGCAUAUAUGCCAUAUAUGUAUGCCAAUGCCAUGUACCCUAGAGAUGAAUCAUGUACUCAUGCUCUCAGAGUACUCAAUCUCACUAUCUCACUCUUUUCACUCAUCAAUGCUCAACCACUCGGUACUUUAUAUGGAUUAUACAUCGCAGGAAAGAUCCAUCCUGGAAUAUGUAUAGUACUACUAUAAGUUAUCCAGUACCUAGAAAAGAAGGGAAGUCUAACCUUGUGGAGAAAUUCAUCUCCAAGUAUCAAGUACUUCGAACAAAUCCAUGUCCAGGGAAAUCCAUCCCUCAGUAGUAUCAUAUGUGCUACUGGGGUGUGUUACAGACUCCGGAGGGGCUCCUACAGCCCAAGCGCUAUCAUAAUCACUAAUAUAACCAAUACGGUAUGCAAUCCGACCUCAUAACUGUCACUCAUAAUCAUGCUCUCGACCUCACUUAGUCAACAAUCUCUCGAACUCACCUACGGGCUCACAAUGUCAUAAAAGCUAACCCGGAACAAUGAUACGAUGUAUUAGUAAAUAACAACUGAGACUGAGAUAUGAUAUGAAUACAUGAAUAUGACUGAGUACGAAAUAUCAAUAAAAUUAGUAAGAUGACAACAAGAAACGACUACUAUGGGUCCUAACAAUAUAUAUAUAUAUAUAUAGCCUAAUCAUGAUAUAUAGCAUGAUUGACAACUCAGUUACUUUAUCACAUGGUGAAAACAUAGAUAUCAACAAAAAUCGAACCACUAUACAACAACAACAACAAUCCAAUAUAAACCCACUUAGUGGGGUCUGGGGAGGGUAGUGUGUACGCAGACCUUACCCCUACCCUUGNNNNNNNNNNNNNNNNNNNNNNNNNNNNNNNNNNNNNNNNNNNNNNNNNNNNNNNNNNNNNNNNNNNNNNNNNNNNNNNNNNNNNNNNNNNNNNNNNNNNNNNNNNNNNNNNNNNNNNNNNNNNNNNNNNNNNNNNNNNNNNNNNNCCCCUUCCCUUGGGUAGAGAGGCUGUUUCCAAAUAAACCCCCGACAUCCUUCCCUCUAAGAACUUCCCACCUUGCUCUUGGAGAGACUAUGCAGUGCCAUGGAAAUAACGAAAUCACAAUUCGCAGGGUGCACUCCCACACGCCCGUCACCUAGCAUGUGUGUCACCUCAAUACCAAUCACACAAUACGUAAUUUGGAGUUUCAUACCCGCAACACUAAGUUUAGAAAAGUAAAUUAUCUUGAACAAAUUUUGAACAAGCCAAUUCAAGCAUCGAGCAAGCCAAACAAUACUCCAAAAAUGUCAUCACGCACGUAGCGACCUCCGAACGGCUCAAAAGCUAGUCAAAAAUAACUCAAAAACAUCAGAUAAAGCCCACGGAAACAAUUAUAAAUAAUAAAGAUCGAAUCCUACAUCAAAUCCCAAAUCCGACGAAAAAUCACAUCUGGGCCCACACCUCAAAAUUCGGCAAAACUCACAAAAUUCGAUAACUCAUUCGACUAUGAGUCCAACCAUACUAGUUUCAUUCAAAUCCAACUCCAAAUCGGUGUUAAAAACUCAAAAUUCAUAUUAUAAAACUUUAGGCCAAAACCCCCAAUUUUCUCUUUAAAAUUCAUCACCCAAAAGCUAAAAUCGAAGAUAGAUUCAAAAAAUAUAACCAAAAUCGAGUAAAGAACACUUACCCCAACUCACAUGGUGAAAAUUGCUUCAAGGAUUGCCUCAAUCUGAGCUCCAUAGCUCCUAAAAUGCAAAAAUGACUGAAACCCUUGAAAUAGAGUACUUUAUAAUCACUGACGAAUUAAUGAAUCACGAUCGCAAAAAUAACCUCGCAUUCUCGAAGAAGGAAAAUUAAUGUUCCUGAAAAUGCACUAUGCGAUCGCGAAAAAGGAAAUAUCCUGCCCCUGAAAUGCACUAUGCGAUUGCGUACAAAGAACUGUGAACGCGUAGAAGAAACAACCACAGCCUAGCUCAGUCAAACACUCUAUGCGAAAGGCUUACGCAAAUGCGAUGCUCAAAUUGCAGCAACUGUCUGAAGACUCGCGAACGCGAUGAACAAUUUCUCCUAGCCUUCAAACAACUCUAUGUGAUCACGAUCCAUAUCCUGCGAUUGCGAUUAAGGAAACUAGAUAGUUAGAGUUCUGACAAUCUCAAAAUGAAGGAAAAAUAGCCCGAAAUGAAUCCAAAAUACGUCUGAGCCCCUCGGGACCAUGUCCAAACAUACUAACAAGUCCCACAACAUAACACAGACCUACUCGAAGCCUCAAAACUCACAUAAUAGCAUCAAAACAACGAAUCAUGCCUCAACUCGAAAUCAAUGAACUUGAAACUUCAAACUUCCGCAACUGAUGCCGACACCUAUCAAAUCACGUCCGAUUGACCUCAAAUUUUGCACACAAGUCACAUUUGAUAUUACAGACCUGCUCCAACUUCCGAAAUCGAAAUUCAACUCCGAUAUCAAAAAGUGUACACACGAUCAAACUUUCCAAAUUCCAACUUUCGUCAUUUCAAGCCAAAUUCUAAUGCGGACCUCCAAAUCACUAUCCGGACACGCUCCUAAGUCUAAAAUCACCUAAUGGAACCACCAAAAAUCCAAUCCGAGGUCAAAUACCGAAAAUCAAACUUGGUCAAAACCUUUCAAAUUUAAAGCUUCUAGUUGAGAAUCAUUCUUCCAAAUCAAUUCCGAAUAACCUGAAAACCAAAACCGAUGAUUCACACAAGUCAUAUACAUUAUAUGAAGCUACUCAUGCCCUUAAACAAUCAAGCGAUAUACAAAAGCUCAAAAUAAUUGAUCGAAUCGUUGCAACAAUACUUCAUCCGAUUCACAAUAAAUGUCCAAAUACCAAACGUAAAAGACGAAAUUUUUCUUUAAAUUUUUGUUUUCCAUGCGGAUUUAGGUUGGCCAAAUUAUCUGCAUGCAGAAUAUUGCAUGUGUUUGUCAAAUUCUGGUCCAAGUUUUAAUAUACUCAUGACAUUAAAUUUUCGUCCUUUACUCUGCAUGAACGUUUGAAUUUGUAGCCAUAUAACAAUUUGUUUGAAUGGUUAUUAUCUAUCGUUUCAUAAUGUAUCGUAUUGUAUUAUAUUGUAUUGUAUUGUAUUGUAUUGUAUUAUAUUGUAUUGUAUUAUUUAAUAAAUAUAAUGUUUGAAUAAAUUAUAUCGUUUGAUGUCGUUUUAUGACGCUAUAUACAAAAAAUAUAAAGAAUAAACUCACAAUAUUACUAAUAAAAAAUAGAAUAUAAAAUAGAACCAAUAUGCCACCACACUAAAUCUGCCAUUAUAUAAAGGUGCACUUUUGUCAUUACAUAACAAUGGAUUUAAAUACAAUAAAAUUUAAAUAACAAUCAAAAUAAAUAUUAUAUUUAAAGCAACAAUACGAUAUAAUACAAUAGGUAACAACUAUCCAAACAAGCUGGAAGUCCCUUCAAAUGACCGGCCUAGUAAGGCCAAAUUAAAUUUCCAAAUCUUUUAUUUUUUUACAAAGUUGUUAAAGUAAUUUAUCAAGAUACAGUAUAUAUCUAUAGUUCAAAAUUCUGAAUAUUUGUUGGUUCAGAUAUAAAUCAAAUCGCAAUCAACUAUAAAUACACAAAGUCAUUGAUUAGAAACUUAUAUAUAUCAAGUUGAACCUAUUGCAGUAGUUGAGUAGUUCCGUCAAACUUUAGAUUUGUGGGACUGGAACUUAAAAAUGGUUAGUUCCAUACAUUUGCAAGAAGUUUUAAGUCAAAAGUGAAUAUCCACCAAAUAAUUCCUUAAAAUUCGUCUUCGGCCACUGAACAAAUGCCUAAUUUAGUCACCAAAAGCAUGCACAGAAAAGUGUAGAACUUGGCUUUUUUUUCCUUCUAUACUGUGGGUCCAAAACUGACUAGAAACUACUUGUAACUCCUGAAAUUUUAAAUAAAAUAGAGGGUGCGGUGCGUCAAGCCAAACUUAUUUUUUCUACAAUAUGCCAAUUGAUAUUCCUCUCUCGUUCCUUUCCUCUGCCGCACCCCCCAAUCCUUCGAAAAGAAACUUGAGGCUGACUUAUAAGAACUCACCCACCCCACCUCGCAAAUAGGGGUAUAUAAGAAAAAUUAGUAGAUAAUAUUGACUAAGAACAAUAAAGAAAGAAGACUACCAUUUAUAAAAAAUACGGUAUUGUGGGAAGUUACCAUCUUGAAAGCGAUUUCGGUCCGACUAGGUGCAAAUUCCCAAAGUUUUAUAGUACCUCCAAACACGUGCACUCGUAGCUGGAAGUUUAGAAUUUACACAAAGCACCCAAGAAGAAGAGAAGAAGAACAUAUUUUAUGUGUUGGAUAAUUCACAAAGAAGUCUAGAAAGAAAGGAAUGAUUAGCUAGAUAUAUUCUUGGUUAAGAAUCGAGUGAUUAUGAUGGCUAAUGCAUAACCUAUUUAUAGGAAAUUAAGGAGGUUGCAUGUAUAAUAAAUGUCGGGAGACUUUUCACACUUGUCCCAUUAUGUUAGUCCACAUGGCUCCAAUAUUGACAUGUGUAUCUUGUCUCCAUGCAUGAAGAUAUUUUGUAGAUUUGCAUAGCCAUUUGUCAAAGCCAUUCAACACUUGGCUUUAUGGCUUCAUGCAAGAGGUCACUUCGAAAUAGAUAAGACAUUUAAAAAAUAAUGAGAAUCAUGGCUAUCGGUUGUAAAUGGAAUUUCGAAAAGAAAUUUUUUAUUUUGCAUUAUGAAUAAUUCCAACAAUCCCCCACUAAUGCAAAAACAAAAACAGAACAAUUCUGGGUAAAAGAAGUAACAUGUACUUAAAUGUCAAUAUUUUUCGAUUUGAACUGACACGUAGUAAAAUGAGGCAAUAACUAACAUCCACAAAGUGAAGUACUCUUGAACUGAAUGGACAUUAGCUGAGACCCCUACAACACAUAUUAUAUCCUUAAUUUUAUGCAAAUUUUGCGAUACUAACAAAGUGCUUUUAUGGUCAUGCACAUACCUUGGGUCUCAUGAGUGCUCUAGAAAGACAUCCCAAGUCAACACAUAUUAUAUCCUUAAUUUUAUGCAAAUUUUGCGAUACUAACAAAGUGCUUUUAUGGUCAUGCACAUACCUUGGGUCUCAUGAGUGCUCUAGAAAGGCAAACCAAGUCUUUCAUAAAAGUCGAUCGCACCUUUACACCCACAUAGGUGAUUCCAUCAAGUCUAUCUACACAUAGACUACCUUAAGGCUAUGGAAUCACCAAUAGCACAAUAAGCUCAACCUUAUAAAGUAGUAUCACACGCCAUAUUGAUAGGAAAUGUAGUGCAUAUUGAGGUCUCAUAUGACUUUGUUUGACCAAAAAAGAGUUUCCACCAUACUUUCUCAAUCCAUGGGCUUUAGCUCCAUCCCCGUUGACGUUUCAUACUCUCCUUGCAAACCCUUGGUUAAAAUAUCCACCAAAUUUCUUUCGGAUCUUACAUAUUCUAAGAAAAUAACACCAUAUUUUAACAACUUUUUUAGUGCACCAUGCCUAAUGCAGAUAUGUCUUCUUUUUCCAUUGUAUACACUAUUUUUGACAAUUUCAAUUGCUGCCUGUGAGUUACAAUAUAGAGAAACUGGUGAAGUUUGUCUUCCCCACAAAGGCACGUCUGCCAAUAAGUUUCUUAACCACUCAGCUUCUAUCCCUGCCAACUCAAGAGCAAUGAAUUCAGACUCCAUAGUAGAUCGUUCUAUACAAGUCUUUUUUGAAGACUUCCAUAAAAUAUCACCUGCACCCAAAGUAAACACGUACCCACUGGUGGAGCUAACUUCAUUAUUGUCAUUAACCCAGUUUUCAUCACAAAAGCCUUCUAAAACAGUAGGAAAUUUAUUAAACCGCAAACACCAAUCCAUAGCUCAAAUACCUUAGCAAUCUAUGUAGAGCAUUCUAGUGUUCACUGCUAAGGCUGUGAGUAUAUCUACUCGAUUUACUAAUAGUAUAAGCAAUAUCAGGUCGUGUAUAAUUUAUGAAAAAUAUUACACUAUCAAUUAUCUUAGCAUACUCAUUUUGAGAAAUACUAGAUUCCUUACUCUUUUUCAAGUGUAUGCUAGGAACAUAAGGAGUACUCACAGGUGCUAUAUCAAAACAAUUAAAUCUUUUCAAUAUUUUCUCAAUAUAAUGAGACUAAGACAAUGGCAAACCAUUAGAAGUUCUUUUGAUUUUAACCCCUAAAAUCAAAUCUGCUUCUCCAUGAUCUUUAUUUUCAAAUUUAGAAGACAAAAAAUUCUUAGUCUCAGUAACAACAUUCACAUUAGGGCCAAAGGUUAACAUGUCAUCCACAUACAAACAUAUAAUAACACAAUCUGAUCCUAUCAUCUUGGAAUAAACACAAGUAUCAGAUGCAUUAACAACAAAAUCUUUAUCCACUAAUGUGCUAUUAAACUUUUCAUACCAUUGUUUAGGUGCCUGCUUUAGACCAUACAAAGACUUUCUCAAUUUGCAUACUUUAUUCUCCUAUCCUUGGAUCAUAAAUCCCUCAGGUUAAGACAUAUAGAUCUCUUCCUCUAAAUCACCAUUUAGGAAAGCUGUUUUAAUAUCCAUUUGAUGUAUUAUCAAAUUAUGAAUAACGACUACAACAACAAGAGUUCUAAUAGUCGCUAUCGUAGUCACAUGAAAAUUAGUAUCAAAGAAAUCAAUAUCUUUCUUUUGACUAAAAUCCCUAAUAACAAGUCUAGCCUUAUAUUUCUCAAUUGUGCCAUCAGAUCUCAACUUUUUCUUAAAUAUCCACUUGUUACUUAUAGGUUUACAACCUUUACGCAAAUCAGACAAGUCCCAAGUAUGAUUAAAAACUAUAGAGUCUAAUUCAUUUUUAAUGGUCUCUUUCCAAAAACUAGCAUCUAUCGACCUCAUUGCUUCACUAUAUGUCUUAGGGUCUUCUUCUAUUAAAUAGAUUGACACUAAUUCAUCACUCAAAAUAUAAAGAUCAAUAUUUUCAGUCAAGAAAGUAAUAAUAAAGUCAAGACCAAAGCUAGCUUCAAUUCUACAUCUCUUGCUUCUUCUAAGGUUAUUUUCAUGUAGCAGUAACACUAGAAGAAGGCACAAUAUGAGAAUUAACAGGCAUAAAUACAGAAGCAUUAUUAGUCACAUCACUAGCACAUUAUUUUUCAAUGAAAAAAUAUGCUAAAAAAAUUCUGCAUCUCCAGAUACACAAAUAGAACUAUCAUUCAAAGACAUAAAUCUAUAUGCAACACUAUUUUGAGCAUAACCAANNNNNNNNNNNNNNNNNNNNNNNNNNNNNNNNNNNNNNNNNNNNNNNNNNNNNNNNNNNNNNNNNNNNNNNNNNNNNNNNNNNNNNNNNNNNNNNNNNNNNNNNNNNNNNNNNNNNNNNNNNNNNNNNNNNNNNNNNNNNNNNNNNNNNNNNNNNNNNNNNNNNNNNNNNNNNNNNNNNNNNNNNNNNNNNNNNNNNNNNNNNNNNNNNNNNNNNNNNNNNNNNNNNNNNNNNNNNNNNNNNNNNNNNNNNNNNNNNNNNNNNNNNNNNNNNNNNNNNNNNNNNNNNNNNNNNNNNNNNNNNNNNNNNNNNNNNNNNNNNNNNNNNNNNNNNNNNAAGUUUUAUCUAACUUCUUAUGAGGGACUUUAUUAAGAACAUAGCAUGCAGAUAAAACAGCUUCCUCCCACAUAUCAUCAUAUAAAUCCGAACUCAAAAGCAUAGAAUUCAUCAUUUCCUUAAGGGUUCUAUUUUUCUGUUCGGCUACACAAUUUUAUUGGGGAGUAUAUGGAGCACUAAUCUCAUGUAUAAUACCAUUUUUCUUACAGAAGACUUCUAGAGUAUUAGUACUAUAUUCUCCACCCCUGUCAGACCUAAGUCUCUUGAUUUUUCUAUCUAAAUAAUUUUCUACUUCUGUCUUGUAUUUUAAAUUCAUGCUUUAAGUUUUAUCUUUUGACAUAAGAAGAUAUACCUUAGUGUAUCUAGCGGCCUGGCCUCCACCUAUAAUACCUCGACCUCCACCUCUAACCGUCUAACCCCUAUCUCUAGCUACCUGAGCAAGCGAUAGAACACCAUGUUCUAGGACCAUGGCACGAGAACCGUGGGGUUGAGAACUGCCCGAUGCUCGAGGAAAAUACCUAGAAAUGUGCCU
rnacentral:lncRNA from 1 species